rnacentral:rRNA from 1 species
UUGCCUUAGUAACGGCGAGUGAAGCGGCAACAGCUCAAAUUUGAAAUCUGGCCCUCGGGUCCGAAUUGUAAUUUGUAGAGGAUGAUUUUGGUGCGGUAUCUUCCGAGUUCCUUGGAACAGGACGCCUUAGAGGGUGAGAGCCCCGUACGGUUGAAUGCCUAGCCUCUGUAAAUCUCCUUCGACGAGUCGAGUAGUUUGGGAAUGCUGCUCUAAAUGGGAGGUAAAUUUCUUCUAAAGCUAAAUAUUGGCCAGAGACCGAUAGCGCACAAGUAGAGUGAUCGAAAGAUGAAAAGCACUUUGAAAAGAGGGUUAAAUAGCACGUGAAAUUGUUGAAAGGGAAGGAUUUGUGACCAGACUUUUUCUGGGCGGAUCAUCCGGGGUUCUCUCCGGUGCACUUUGCCCAGUAAAGGCCAGCAUCGAUUUUCGGCGGCGGAUAAAAGCAGUGGGAAUGUGGCUCCCUACGGGGAGUGUUAUAGCCCAUUGUAUAAUACGCUGCUGGGGAUCGAGGUACGCGCUUCUGCAAGGAUGCUGGCGUAAUGGUUAUCAAUCACCCGUCUUGAAACACGGACCAAGGAGUCGAACAUUUAUGCGAGUGUUUGGGUGUUAAACCCUCACGCGUAAUGAAAGUGAACGGAGGUGAGAGCCCGUACGGGUGCAUCAUCGACCGAUCCUGAAGUUUUCGGAUGGAUUUGAGUAAGAGCAUAACUGUUCGGACCCGAAAGAUGGUGAACUAUGCGUGGAUAGGGUGAAGCCAGAGGAAACUCUGGUGGAGGCUCGCAGCGGUUCUGACGUGCAAAUCGAUCGUCAAAUCUGCGCA